UAGACUCCUUGACUUUCAGAUUGUGACUUCU
rnacentral:piRNA from 1 species